CCUACGGGAGGCUGCAGUGGGGAAUAUUGGGCAAUGGAGGAAACUCUGACGCAGCAAUGCCGCGUGAAGGAUGAAGGUUUUCGGAUUGUAAACUUCUGUCGCGAGGGAUGAAGAAUGACGUUACCUCGUAAGAAAGCCCCGGCAAACUACGUGCCAGCAGCCGCGGUAAUACGUAGGGGGCGAGCGUUGUCCGGAAUGCUUGGUCGUAAAGGGGGUGUAGGCGGCUUAUUAAGUUAUGUUUGAAACCCUGCGGCUCAACCGCGGAGUUGCACAUAAAACUGGUAAUCUUGAGUGCAGGAGAGGUAAGUGGAAUUCCCGGUGUAGUGGUGGAAUGCGUAGAUAUCGGGAGGAACACCAGAGGCGAAGGCGACUUACUGGACUGUAACUGACGCUGAGGCUCGAAAGCGUGGGGAGCAAACAGGAUUAGAUACCCUGGUAGUC
rnacentral:rRNA from 1 species